AUGGAGUGCGCCGACGUCUUCAUCGCCGUGGGCCGCCGGUCAACGUCGCCCUCCACGUCCUCCUCGUGGCAGCCGGGGAGGCAAUGGCGCAAGGCCCUCAACGUCAUCCGGACGUGCCACAGGCUGGCGCGGCUCGGCAUUCUGUCCGCGGGCGUCCUCCUGCCACGGAGCACCGCCUCCUACGUCGCCAUCAAGAUCCACCACGACGGCAGUGACUCCGACGCCGACUCGUCCGGCAAUGCCACCAACGCCGCAGCAUUCUCUGUCACCGCUGAUGACGAGCUUUUCAAGGGCCUGGUCAAGGAGAAGCGCGAAGACUGUUUCCGCCGCCUCGGGGGCAGUGCUGCCAUUGCCGCCGCGUUGGCGUCCGACGCAGAGCGCGGCAUUCGCGGCGACGGCGACGACGUGCGGCGCCGCAGGGAGUCGUUCGGCGGGAACACGUACCCCAAGCCAAAGCCCAAGAGCUUCUUCAGCCACGUCUGGGACGCGCUCAAGGACGUCUUCCUCAUCGUGCUCCUCGUCUGCGCCGUCGUUUCCCUCGGCUUCGGCAUCAAGGAGCACGGCCUCAAGGACGGCUGGUACGACGGUGUAAGUAUCUUUCUUGCGGUGUUCCUCGUUGCUGCCGUCUCCGCCGUCAGCAACCACAGCCAGGCCAAGCGGUUCGACAAGCUGGCCAGCGAGUCCGACAACAUUGCCGUCACCGUCGUCCGCGCCGGCCGGAGGCAGGAGGUCUCCAUAUUCGAUAUCCUCGUCGGCGACGUGGUGAUACUCAAGAUCGGCGACUCGGUGCCGGCGGACGGGGUGUUCCUGGAGGGUCACGGCCUGCAGGUGGACGAGUCGAGCAUGACGGGCGAGCCCCACCCGAUCGAGAUAGAUGCCGAGAAGAGCCCCUUCCUCACCGGCGGCGUGAAGAUCGUCGACGGCUACGGCCGGAUGCUCGUCACCGCCGUCGGCACCGACACCUUGUGGGGCGAGAUGAUGAGCAGCAUAACCAAGGAGACGGCCGAGCCAACGCCGCUCCAGGAGCGCCUCGAGCGCCUCACCUCAAGCAUUGGCAAGAUCGGCGUCGCCGUGGCGGUGCUCGUGUUCACCGUGCUCACCGCGCGCCACUUCACCGGCAGCACCAAGGACGACCAGGGGAAGCCGCUGUUCAACAAGGGCCACGUCACCUUCGACGCCGUCUUCAGCUCCCUCGUCGUCAUCUUCCAGCAGGCCGUCACCAUCAUCGUCGUCGCCAUCCCCGAGGGCCUCCCGCUCGCCGUGACGCUCACGCUCGCCUUCUCCAUGAAGAGGAUGGUGAAGGAGAACGCGCUGGUGCGCCGCCUGUCGGCGUGCGAGACAAUGGGGUCCGUCACAGCCAUCUGCACCGACAAGACCGGAACGCUGACGCUCAACCAGAUGAAGGUGACCGAGUUUUGGGUCGGCACUGACCAGCCCAGAGGUGCCACGGCGAUCGCCGGGAGUGUCGUCAGCUUGCUCUGCCAGGGAGCUGGGCUCAACACAACAGGAAGCGUUUACAAGCCGGACAACGUGUCGCCGCCGGAGAUUACAGGCAGCCCGACGGAGAAGGCGCUGCUGUCGUGGGCCGUAGCGGACCUCGGCAUGGACGCCGACGCGCUGAAGAGGAGCUGCAAGGUGCUGCACGUUGAGGCAUUCAACUCGGACAAGAAGCGCAGCGGUGUGAUGAUCAAGGACAACGCUACGGGCGCGGUGGUCGCGCACUGGAAAGGUGCCGCGGAGAUGGUGCUGGCGAACUGCUCGAUGUACAUGGACACGGACGGAGCGGCGCGUGAGCUCGGAGCGGAGCAGAGGAGGAACCUUGAGAAGGUGAUCAACGACAUGGCAGUCGGCAGCCUCCGGUGCAUCGCCUUCGCCUACAAGCAAGUCGACAGCACUACUGAGCAAUCGAAGAUCGACGACGACGGUCUCACACUGCUGGGCUUCGUCGGGUUGAAGGACCCGUGCCGCCCAGAGGUCAAGGCGGCCAUUGAAGCUUCCACGAAGGCGGGCGUCGCCGUCAAGAUGGUCACCGGCGACAACAUCCUCACGGCCCGCGCGAUCGCCAAGGAGUGCGGCAUCAUAUCCAGCAACGACCCCAGCGGCAUCGUCAUCGAGGGGGACGAGUUCCGCGCCAUGUCGCCGGAGCAGCAGCUGGAGAUCGUGGACCGGAUCCGCGUCAUGGCGCGGUCCCUGCCGCUGGACAAGCUGGCGCUGGUGCAGCGGCUGAAGCAGAAGGGGCACGUGGUGGCCGUGACCGGCGACGGCACCAACGACGCGCCGGCGCUCAAGGAGGCGGACGUGGGGCUAUCCAUGGGCGUGCAGGGCACGGAGGUGGCCAAGGAGAGCUCCGACAUCAUCAUCCUCAACGACAACUUCGACACGGUGGUGACGGCCACGCGGUGGGGGCGCUGCGUCUACAACAACAUCCAGAAGUUCAUCCAGUUCCAGCUCACCGUCAACGUGGCGGCGCUCGUCAUCAACUUCGUGUCCGCGAUCACCACGGGCAAGAUGCCGCUCACCACCGUGCAGCUCCUGUGGGUGAACCUGAUCAUGGACACCAUGGGAGCCCUGGCGCUCGCCACGGACACGCCCACCAAGGCGCUCAUGGACCGGCCGCCCAUCGGCCGCACGGCGCCGCUCAUCAGCAACGCCAUGUGGCGCAACCUCGCCGCGCAGGCGGCGUUCCAGAUCGCCGUGCUGCUGGCGCUCCAGUACCGGGGGCGGGACGUCUUCGGCACCGACGAGAAGGGUAACGGCACCAUGAUCUUCAACGCCUUCGUGCUGUGCCAGGUGUUCAACGAGUUCAACGCGCGGGAGAUCGAGAAGAAGAACGUGUUCGCCGGGGUGCUCAAGAACAGGAUGUUCCUCGUCAUCAUCGCCGUCACGCUCGUGCUGCAGGUGGUCAUGGUGGAGGUGCUCACCAGGUUCGCCGGAACCAAGAGGCUGGGGCUGGGGCAGUGGGGCGUCUGCCUCGCCAUCGCCGCCGUGUCGUGGCCCAUCGGCUGGGCCGUCAAGUUCAUCCCCGUGCCCGACCGGACUCUCCAUGACAUCCUCACGCGCCGGAAAUCCUCAUGA
rnacentral:rRNA from 1 species